AAAUGAUCGACAAAGGGAUCUACGUUUUCAAACUGUAUGAUCAGAAACGAUUUAGCCCAGAGAGAAUAUACAUGAGUAGAGUAGUUACUAUCUAAACAAAAGGUUUCGAUCCAUUUUCCAACACUCCUUCCAAUAUAUAGCGCUUUUGAUCGCAUGCCAAAAUUUCGAGGAAGGUCUGCUUGCCGAUGUUGCUUCUUGAUUAUAUAGAUGAAACAGUAGCGAAGGCAUUGUAUAAACCAGUAUCCUCUUUCUAUUUUAUUGACCUUCAAUGUAGAAAUCAUGGCACAAAGUGAUUCAAAAACAAAAGUACACAUGGGUC